rnacentral:rRNA from 1 species
UACGAAGGGGGGCUAGCGUUGCUCGGAAUCACUGGGCGUAAAGCGCGCGUAGGCGGUUACUUAAGUCGGAUGUGAAAGCCCUCGGCUUAACUGAGGAAGUGCACCCGAAACUGAGUAGCUAGAGUACUAAAGAGGGUCGCGGAAUUCCCGGUGUAGAGGUGAAAUUCGUAGAUAUCGGGAGGAACACCGGGUGGCGAAGGCGGCGACCUGGGUAGAGACUGACGCUGAGG